AAGUGUGCUUAGUAAUGAAGCUAGGGGGUGCAGAGUGGUAUUUAAGCUGGUAAAAGGAUAUACCUUUGAGGUCACCAUUCCUUCCUGCAAUGAACAUCUCCAACCAAGUCAGCAAGUAGAUAACACAAAUGAGACAUCAACAUCAACUAAAGUAAACCUAGACAUACCCAAUAAGAAAUCAAGAGACCUAAUGUUAGCAAUGGGAUUCUUUCAAACCAUGAUCUCCAAGGCAGUGAUUUUAUCAGCCACCGUCCUUGACUUCUCAGAGCAGGGAUCGCCAUCUUCAUAUCUCCACUCCACUCCUAACUCCUAACUCCCUCUUCUUCUCCACCUCCCCUCCUUGUUCGUCCAGUUACCUCCUCCGCCUAAAACCUUCUCCUCAAGCUCCUCUGCAUCAUUGUACCACUCCAAGCUCAAUAAACUCGCUUUUACUAACGGUAACUUAGGUAAAAUCUUGAAAUUUUCGAAAAGUUUUGUCUUAAAAGGCACUGUUCUCAUCGUCUACACACACACACAAAAAUCAGUCUUUGGCUUCUUCUUUGUGUCUACUUGUGUAACCUUGUUCUGUUAUUGUUCUUCUGAGCAUUGGUGAAGAGAUAGUAUCUGUGCAUCACCUGGGGGUACUUGAUGCUUGUCAUGUUGCAACUGGGCUCAGCAACUCUCAACUCCAGCUAUGGAACUCUGCAUCCAACCGGUAACUUAGAACAUUUGAGGCACAGCCGGAUAAAA
rnacentral:lncRNA from 1 species